rnacentral:misc_RNA from 1 species
UCCGGGUUGGACCCGGCGGUCCCGCCAGACAUCGUAACUGGCGGCGAGGGUUGCGCUCGUUGCGGGACUUAACCCAACAUCUCACGACACGAGCUGACGACAGCCAUGCAGCAUCUGUGCAACCGUCCCGAAGGAGGCACCUCUUUCAAGGUGUUGCGAUUGCAUGUCAAGCCCUGGUAAGGUUCUUCGCGUUACAUCGAAUUAAACCACACGCUCCGCUGCUUGUGCGGGUCCCCGUCAAUUCCUUUGAGUUUUAGUCUUGCGACCGUACUCCCCAGGCGGGCCACUUAAUGCGUUAGCUUCGGCACGGAAGGGGUCAACACCCCCCACACCUAGUGGCCAUCGUUUACUGCUAGGACUAC